UCUUGGUUAGCUGAGUUGGUAGAGCGCUCCACUGGAAAUGGAGAGGUCCCUAGCUGGUUCGAUACCAGGACCUGGCG
rnacentral:tRNA from 1 species